rnacentral:rRNA from 1 species
UCUAGAAGCUUCGGCAAUGGGGGAAACCCUGACCGAGCGACGCCGCGUGCAGGACGAAGGUCUUCGGAUCGUAAACUGCUUUCGCUGGAGGAGAAAUGUCUUGGGGCUAAUAACUCUAAGACUAGACGGUAUCCAGUAAAGAAGCUCCGGCUAAGUCCGUGCCAGCAGCCGCGGUAAUACGGGUGGAGCGAGCGUUGUUCGGCUUCAUUGGGUGUAAAGGGUGCGAAGGCGGUCGUCUAAGUCGGAGGUGAAAUGUCUACGGCUCAACCGAGGCAUUGCCUCCGAUACUGGACGACUUGAGUGCGGAAGGGGAGCGUGGAAUUCCUGGUGUAGCGGUGAAAUGCGUAGAUAUCAGGAGGAACACCGGUGGCGAAGGCGACGCUCUGGUCCGCAACUGACGCUCAUGCACGAAAGCCAGGGGAGCGAACG